UCUUCACUGCGGGAUUCAGCCCCCAGUAGUGUUACAGUCCCAACUACACAGUCCAGGUCUUCUACAAGGCGUUGUGGGGACUUCUUACUGUCAAGCAGUAAUUUGGAUCUGCAUUUUUUCUUACUAGGUUUUUAAGAAGAAUCUGAUGGUGAGAAUAGGUUAAGACGACUCAGGAUGACGACAACAGUAGCGACAGAUUAUGACAAUAUUGAAAUCCAACAGCAGUACAGCGAUGUCAACAACCGCUGGGAUGUCGAUGACUGGGACAAUGAAAAUAGUUCUGCUCGACUGUUUGAACGAUCCCGCAUCAAGGCCCUAGCUGAUGAACGUGAGGCAGUUCAGAAGAAGACUUUCACAAAGUGGGUUAAUUCCCACUUGGCACGUGUAUCAUGCAGAAUUACAGAUUUGUACACUGAUCUUCGUGAUGGAAGGAUGCUCAUCAAACUUCUGGAAGUUCUUUCAGGAGAGAGACUUCCUAAACCAACUAAGGGAAGGAUGCGCAUCCAUUGCCUGGAGAAUGUUGAUAAAGCCCUCCAGUUCCUGAAAGAGCAAAGAGUGCACCUAGAAAACAUGGGAUCUCAUGAUAUUGUGGAUGGGAAUCACAGGCUGACACUUGGCCUUAUUUGGACUAUUAUCCUGAGAUUCCAGAUCCAAGAUAUCAGUGUUGAAACUGAGGACAACAAGGAGAAGAAAUCUGCUAAAGAUGCUUUGCUUUUGUGGUGCCAGAUGAAGACAGCUGGUUACCCCAAUGUCAACAUUCACAACUUUACGACAAGCUGGAGGGACGGGAUGGCUUUCAAUGCACUAAUACAUAAGCACAGGCCUGAUCUGAUUGAUUUUGACAAGCUGAAGAAAUCAAAUGCACACUACAAUCUGCAGAAUGCUUUUAACCUUGCAGAGCAACACCUUGGUCUUACUAAGCUCCUGGACCCCGAGGAUAUCAGUGUUGAUCAUCCUGAUGAAAAGUCAAUCAUCACCUAUGUGGUGACAUAUUACCACUACUUCUCCAAGAUGAAAGCUCUAGCUGUUGAAGGAAAACGUAUCGGAAAGGUGCUUGACAAUGCCAUUGAAACGGAGAAAAUGAUUGAAAAAUACGAAUCCCUGGCUUCCGACCUCCUUGAGUGGAUUGAGCAAACCAUUAUCAUCCUCAACAACCGCAAAUUUGCCAACUCGCUAGUUGGUGUGCAGCAGCAGCUACAGGCAUUCAACACUUACCGCACAGUAGAGAAACCACCCAAAUUUACAGAAAAAGGAAACCUAGAAGUGCUGCUUUUUACCAUCCAAAGCAAAAUGAGAGCCAACAAUCAGAAAGUAUACAUGCCGAGGGAGGGCAAACUCAUCUCUGACAUUAACAAGGCCUGGGAAAGACUGGAAAAAGCUGAACAUGAAAGAGAACUGGCACUGCGAAAUGAGCUCAUCAGACAAGAGAAACUGGAACAACUUGCACGCAGAUUUGAUCGCAAGGCAGCUAUGAGAGAAACUUGGCUGAGUGAAAAUCAACGUCUCGUUUCUCAGGAUAAUUUUGGCUUUGACCUUCCGGCAGUAGAGGCCGCAACAAAGAAGCAUGAGGCCAUUGAAACAGACAUUGCAGCGUAUGAAGAACGAGUCCAGGCCGUGGUUGCAGUUGCAAAGGAGCUCGAGACUGAAAAUUAUCAUGACAUCAAACGCAUUACUGCGAGAAAGGACAACGUUAUACGCCUAUGGGAGUAUCUCCUGGAGCUGCUCAGGGCACGGAGACAGCGGCUGGAGAUGAAUCUUGGUCUGCAAAAGAUUUUCCAGGAAAUGCUGUACAUUAUGGACUGGAUGGAUGAGAUGAAGGUGCUGCUUCUGUCUCAAGACUACGGCAAACAUUUGUUAGGAGUUGAGGACCUGUUACAGAAACAUGCUCUUGUUGAAGCUGACAUUGCUAUUCAGGCUGAGAGAGUGAGAGGGGUCAAUGCAUCUGCUCAGAAGUUUGCCACCGAUGGAGAAGGUUACAAACCGUGUGACCCGCAAGUUAUCAGGGACCGUGUUGCUCACAUGGAGUUCUGUUACCAAGAGCUGUGCCAGCUUGCAGCUGAGCGCCGGGCCCGCUUGGAGGAGUCCCGGCGCCUCUGGAAAUUCUUCUGGGAAAUGGCUGAAGAAGAGGGUUGGAUCAGGGAGAAGGAACAGAUCCUGUCAUCUGAUGACUAUGGGAAGGACCUAACCAGUGUCGUCCGUCUCUUGAGUAAACAUAAGGCAUUUGAAGAUGAAAUGAGUGGUCGUAGUGGCCACUUUCAGCAGGCGAUAAAAGAAGGUGAAGACAUGAUUGCGGAGGAGCAUUUUGGGUCUGAGAAAAUCAGAGAAAGAAUUAAGGAUAUCCGUGAGCAGUGGGCUAACUUGGAACAGUUAUCUGCCAUUAGGAAGAAGCGUCUGGAGGAAGCCUCUCUCCUUCACCAGUUCCAGGCUGAUGCUGAUGAUAUUGAUGCUUGGAUGUUGGACAUCCUCAAAAUUGUCUCCAGCAAUGAUGUUGGCCAUGAUGAAUAUUCCACUCAGUCCUUGGUCAAGAAACACAAAGAUGUGGCUGAAGAGAUUGCAAGCUACCGGCCAACCAUUGACUCGCUUCACGAACAAGCGAAGGCCCUACCGCAGGAACACGCCGGCUCUCCAGAUGUGCAAGGCAGGUUGUCCGGAAUAGAGGAAAGAUACAAAGAGGUUGCUGAGCUGACUCGGCUGCGUAAACAGGCCUUGCAGGAUACCCUUGCUCUUUAUAAGAUGUUCAGUGAGGCAGAUGCUUGUGAGCUUUGGAUUGACGAAAAGGAGAAGUGGCUGAAUAAUAUGCAGAUUCCAGAGAAGCUGGAGGACCUGGAAGUGAUCCAGCACAGAUUUGAAAGCUUAGAACCAGAAAUGAACAAUCAGGCAUCCCGUGUUGCAGUAGUGAACCAGAUUGCUAGACAGCUAAUGCACAGCGGCCAUCCAAGUGAGAAGGAGAUCAAAGCACAGCAAGAUAAACUCAACACAAGAUGGAGCCAGUUCAGAGAACUGGUAGAUAGGAAGAAGGAUGCUCUGCUCUCUGCUCUGAGUAUCCAGAAUUACCAUCUUGAAUGUAAUGAAACCAAAUCCUGGAUCAGGGAAAAGACCAAAGUGAUCGAAUCCACCCAAGAUCUGGGUAAUGAUCUAGCUGGAGUGAUGGCCCUGCAGAGGAAGCUGACGGGCAUGGAACGUGACCUGGUAGCCAUUGAAGCCAAGCUAAGCGACCUGCAAAAAGAGGCAGAAAAGUUGGAAUCAGAGCAUCCUGACCAGGCACAGGCUAUCCUUUCACGGCUUGCAGAAAUCAACGAUGUAUGGGAAGAAAUGAAGACCACCCUCAAGAACCGGGAAGAGUCCCUUGGCGAGGCAAGCAAACUGCAGCAGUUCCUGAGAGAUCUGGAUGACUUCCAGUCUUGGCUAUCCAGAACGCAGACUGCAAUUGCAUCUGAAGAUAUGCCAAACACACUGACAGAGGCUGAGAAGCUGCUCACUCAACAUGAGAAUAUUAAGAAUGAAAUCAACAAUUAUGAGGAAGAUUAUCAGAAAAUGAGGGACAUGGGUGAGAUGGUGACACAAGGGCAAACUGAUGCUCAGUACAUGUUCUUACGCCAGCGCCUGCAAGCUUUGGACACUGGAUGGAAUGAGCUUCACAAAAUGUGGGAGAACAGGCAAAAUCUCCUUUCCCAGUCUCAUGCCUACCAGCUGUUUCUCAGAGAUACCAAGCAAGCAGAAGCAUUUCUUAAUAACCAGGAGUAUGUUCUGGCGCACACGGAAAUGCCCACUACCUUGGAAGGAGCAGAAGCUGCUAUUAAAAAACAGGAGGAUUUCAUGACCACGAUGGAUGCCAAUGAAGAAAAGAUCAAUGCGGUUGUAGAGACUGGCAGGAGGCUAGUUAGUGAUGGGAACAUUAACUCUGAUAAAAUCCAGGAGAAAGUGGACUCUAUUGAUGACAGACAUAGGAAGAACCGUGAAGCAGCCAGUGAACUUCUGAUGAGACUGAAAGAUAACAGGGAUCUUCAAAAGUUUCUUCAGGAUUGUCAAGAGCUCUCACUCUGGAUCAAUGAAAAGAUGCUUACAGCACAGGAUAUGUCCUAUGAUGAGGCAAGGAACCUGCAUAGCAAAUGGCUGAAGCAUCAGGCAUUUAUGGCAGAACUUGCAUCCAACAAAGAAUGGCUGGAGAAGAUUGAGAAGGAGGGAAUGCAGCUCAUUGCAGAGAAACCAGAGACUGAAGCCGUAGUGAAAGAAAAGCUGACAGGUCUCCAUCAAAUGUGGGAGGAGCUUGAAUCCACUACCCAGACCAAGGCUCAGCGUCUCUUUGAUGCAAACAAGGCAGAGCUUUUUACCCAGAGCUGUGCUGAUUUGGAUAAGUGGCUGAAUGGUUUGGAGAGUCAAAUUCAGUCGGACGACUACGGAAAAGAUCUCACCAGUGUCAACAUCCUGUUGAAGAAGCAGCAGAUGCUGGAGAAUCAAAUGGAUGUUCGUAAGAAGGAGAUAGAGGAGCUGCAAAGCCAGGCAAGGGCUUUAAGUCAAGAAGGGAAGAGUACAGAUGAGGUAGAUGGCAAACGCCUUACUGUAGAAAAGAAGUUUUUGGAGUUGUUGGAACCUCUGAAUGAAAGAAAGGCAAACCUGCUGGCCUCCAAAGAGAUCCACCAGUUCAACCGGGAUGUGGAAGAUGAAAUUUUGUGGGUCGGAGAGAGGAUGCCUAUAGCUACAUCUACUGAUCAUGGACACAACCUCCAGACUGUACAGCUACUAAUAAAGAAAAAUCAGACCCUUCAGAAAGAAAUCCAGGGACAUCAGCCUCGUAUCGAUGACAUUUUUGAGAGGAGUCAAAACAUAAUCACAGAGAGUAGCCCUAAUGCUGAAGCAAUUCAGCAGAGACUUGCAGACUUGCAGCAGCUGUGGAACCUUCUAAUCGAGGAGACGGAGAAACGCCACAAGCGCCUAGAGGAGUCUCACAGAGCACAGCAGUAUUACUUUGAUGCUGCCGAGGCUGAGGCCUGGAUGAGUGAGCAGGAGCUCUACAUGAUGUCAGAAGAGAAAGCCAAGGAUGAACAGAGCGCGGUGUCCAUGCUGAAGAAACACCAGAUUUUGGAACAAGCUGUAGAAGACUAUGCUGAAACUGUGCACCAGCUUUCAAAGACCAGCAGAACUUUGGUGGCAGAUAAUCACCCAGAAAGUGAGCGUAUCAGCAUGCGCCAGUCCAAAGUGGAUAAGCUGUAUGCAGGCCUGAAGGAUCUAGCUGAAGAGAGACGGGGCAAGCUGGAUGAGAGACACAGGCUGUUCCAGCUUAACCGUGAGGUGGAUGACCUGGAGCAAUGGAUUGCUGAAAGGGAGGUGGUGGCAGGAUCCCAUGAGCUGGGACAGGAUUACGAACAUGUAACAAUGCUACAGGAGCGAUUCCGAGAGUUUGCCCGAGACACUGGAAACAUUGGACAGGAGCGCGUUGAUACUGUUAACCACAUGGCAGACGAACUCAUCAACUCUGGACAUUCAGAUGCUGCGACAAUUGCAGAGUGGAAGGACGGACUCAAUGAGGCCUGGGCUGAUCUCCUGGAGCUCAUUGACACGAGAACACAAAUUCUAGCAGCCUCUUAUGAACUGCACAAAUUUUACCAUGAUGCCAAGGAGAUCUUAGGACGUAUUCAAGACAAGCAUAAGAAACUGCCUGAAGAGCUUGGUAGAGACCAAAACACAGUGGAAACACUACAGAGAAUGCACACAACAUUUGAGCAUGAUAUCCAGGCACUCGGCACCCAGGUGAGACAGCUGCAGGAGGAUGCUGCACGCCUUCAGGCUGCCUAUGCUGGAGACAAAGCUGAUGACAUCCAGAAGAGGGAAAAUGAGGUCCUAGAAGCAUGGAAGGCGCUGUUGGAUGCUUGCGAGGGUCGCAGGGUUAGACUGGUAGAUACAGGAGACAAAUUCCGUUUCUUCAGCAUGGUUCGUGAUCUCAUGCUUUGGAUGGAAGACGUUAUCCGACAGAUAGAAGCUCAAGAAAAGCCAAGGGAUGUUUCGUCUGUUGAACUACUAAUGAACAAUCACCAGGGUAUCAAAGCAGAAAUCGAUGCCCGAAACGACAGCUUUACUACCUGCAUUGAGCUCGGCAAAUCUCUUCUGGCAAGAAAACACUACGCAUCAGAGGAGAUCAAGGAGAAGCUGCUGCAGCUGACAGAAAAGAGAAAAGAAAUGAUUGACAAAUGGGAAGACAGAUGGGAGUGGCUGAGACUAAUUUUGGAGGUACACCAGUUUUCAAGAGAUGCAAGUGUGGCUGAGGCCUGGCUGCUGGGACAGGAGCCCUACCUAUCCAGUCGUGAAAUAGGUCAAAGUGUUGAUGAAGUGGAAAAAUUAAUUAAGCGACAUGAAGCAUUUGAAAAAUCUGCAGCUACUUGGGAUGAGAGAUUUGCAGCACUGGAAAGACUGACCACGUUGGAACUGCUGGAAGUACGUCGACAGCAGGAGGAAGAGGAGAGGAAGAGACAGCCGCCCACUCCAGAGCCAAGCCCAAAGGUUGCAGAGGAUGCAGACUCCCAGCAGCAAUGGGAUGGGACAAAAGGAGAACAGGUUUCGCAAAAUGGUUUGCCAUCAGACCAGGAAUCUCCACGGGUUAGUUACCGCUCCCAAACCUACCAAAACUACAAAAACUUUAUUAGCAGACGGACAGCCAAUGACCGAUCAUGGUCUGGACUGUGACGUAGAGAUCAUUUGCCGCAAAAGACACCAUUUUUCAGUAUGGUUUACUGGUACUGGUUUAAUCUUUUGGCUUCAGAUUUCCCUGCUGCUUUUCUCUUCCUUCCCAUCAGUUGACUUUUAUUUAAGUAGCAGCCCCUUGGAGAUAUAUUUGCUUCACUUUAAUCCUUGUUUAUUUGAAUCUUCCCACUGACACUCAGUUGCUUUAAGGUGACACAUUUAUUUCAUGUUAUUUACUGUGAGUUUUUCAUGUUGCUAAUAGUAUUAAGAUUUUCCAGCUAAAUCGUCCUUUAUAUGAGUAAUUGAGAUUUAAUGAGAUUACAUCAUAAUGAAGAAGAGAACUAGAAUCUGACAGGUAUGACGCAUCGAGUUAUACUAACAGGUUUCAGCACGGCAACAUUAUUAAAUCAGCUGCAUUAGCAAGCGAGUUAUUUACAAGGCCAAAGAUAAUACAUGCAAGUGAGCUCGGCAGUAGAGGCUGGGAGGGAGGGGAGAGUUGUAACUAUUGACAAAUAAAAGCCUUAAGGUUAGUUGUAUAACAUUCCAUGCAGAAUGGACGCAUUGACUGCAGAUAAAAAUAAACGUGAAAUAAAACAUUAAAAACUAGUAGCUAGAUUUAUCUUGGUAUUUAGUCCUCAUGAAGAGUUGUGAUCUUGCUGAAUAGCUGUUUUGGGGCCCCUUUUUGCCUUGGUCCUGUCCAGUUUACACUACAGCAAUUCCAUUUACUGACACUGGAGAGACAGUAGUAUAAAGGAGAGUAGGGUGCAGACCCUGAUGGAGAGGUGGUGAUGCUUUUCUUUAAAAGCUAAAUAAAAUACAUUGGUCUAAGAUCCCAGCUCUUUAUUUUAUAUAGAUGCAGGUUGAAUGGUCCAUGCCUUAUUCAUUCCUUCUUGAUAGGGGAUGUCCCAGUGGAGUCAGGAUGCAUGCCAAUAAUCUUAAUGUGCAGCCAUAAAAAUACCAGUAAAUAUGUACAUAUAGUUAAAGCAACACAUUAGUUGGAAACUGGCUUAUCUCUCCGUUACCUUCCUGUAAAGCCUACUUGCUUCAAGUAAUGCUUUGAGUGGUGAGAAGAAUGAUAAUUCUCUUUCUUAUGUUUUUGAACCUCGCUCUCUGAGGUCAUAUUAAGUGCAGGACGGGCUCCUGGCAGGCUCAGAUCAGUGGAUAUUAGAGCUCUUACCAGUACUGCAAAGGAAGUGCAGGUCCCAGUCUGGGACGCUGGAGAGGAAAUGCCUUUCAGCAUUAGUUUAUCUUUCAAAUAGCCCCUCCCGGUGACUUUUGGGUCUGCGCACAGACUCUGUCAAUGCUCUAGGGUACUAAGCAGGUCUACCUUUUUCUUUCUUUAAAUAAAGCCUUUCUGUUCAUCUUUAAUAUUAAAUGAUGGAGUAAGCUGCCUGUUGUACAUUCUAAUGUUUAUGAAAUUCUAUAUAGUUGUGGCAAGGAACGUGAGGUGGCCUGCAAGCACAUCCCAGAUCAUCAUCAUCUUGUCAGUUACCACAGCCUUAUACAUCACCUGUUUGCUUCUUUUUUUAUUUUGUGAUACAUAAUGCAUUUCCGUGUUAAUCUUCACCAUCUGCACUUCAGUCUUUCAUGAGAGCUUUUUAGCUCAGUUCACUAAAUCUUGUGUUGCAACACAUCAGAUGUACGCAGCUGUAUUUCUGAUUUGAGGAGUGAAAUAUGCUGCUGUUGAUCUGAAUUUAGACUUCUAGCGACUAGCUGAGCAGUGCAACUGAAUUGUUCUGUACUGGCUGAGCUUGUAAAGUGAGAAAGAUGAUUGAAAGGAUGUGCUUCAGUAAUUGUACUUUUGCUGUAACUUGUCUUUCCACUUCAUGAUGCAUGUUUUUUUUUCUUUUGUCAGGAUAACAACAUAUAGCUUCUUAAUGCUUUUAAAAAUUCCCUAUAAUGCCGAUGAUCUGGUGACUAGCUACACCAGUGUUGGCUCUCGGUGCCUGUAGGAGUAUGACAGUUCUCAGAGCAGUAUAGCUAUAGCUUCAGACUCCACCAGCUGGGAAGCCUUCACAUGUACUCUGGCUAAAAAGUAGUAUGUAAAAGUAAUGUAUAUAGAUACACUUUUUUACUUGUAUUAGUACACCUCUAUAUAAAAAUUAUACUUUUAUGAUGAAGAAAAAUUAAGUCAUCGAUUAAGGUCGUCAUUUUAGGCAUGAGAAGUGUAAGAUUUCAUCUAUUUAUUAUAGUCUAUGGUACUGGCUUAAAACAUUAAAAUGGUACUUCUGCCAGAACAAUAUAUAGGCUGUCAUCUCUUUGCAUCUGAAAAAGGCAAAUACGUCUCUCUUAUUUAAGCUGUGGUGCAGAGACUUAAGUUGAUGAACUGAACAUCAUGUCGCUUCAAGCACUAUGAAAAUCAAAGGGAUGUUUCCAGUCAUUGUCACCAGCUGUCUUGUUGCAUGUUACAGUCCUGAUGUCAGUAUCUCAAGAGUAGUCUUUAGCCACUAAAGCACUUGCAACUAACCUCUCAGUCACGAUUAAGAAAACUGUAUUCAUGUGCGUGAUAACUGUUUUGUUGUAACAGUACAGUUUGCUAUUGAUGUUCGUCCUCUGUUGCAUUGUCUCUGCAUGCCCGAUGCAUGUCUCAUUAAAGUUUGUUUAGCUCCUGUUUUUUCUCUGUUUUCAUGACACAUUCUUCGCAUAGCUGUUUAUGAUUCAGAUUUAUUUUGCUUGUUUUCUGUUAAUUGUAGAUAACCCAUGAAAAGGAAAUAAAACCUGAAAGAGCAUCAGAAAAGCUUUUCCUAGCCCUUUUACAAUCAGUAGAAUUUUAAGUAGAAGUUACAGGUCUGAUUGUGUGAUUAAAGUUGGCAGUUAUCCUUUAAAACCACAGGGUUGCGGAUUGCAGCACUGAAUUACAUGUUAUUUCCCAUGAAAACAUGUCAGGUAGCUGUGCAGUGGCUGCUGUUUUGAAACUGGUCUGUUUUACUUCAGAUUAGUGCUUAUUGGUACAUCAAAACCAGCAAUAUUUUCACAUCAUGCCAGUAUCACUACAGAAAACAUGCUACUUCUAGCAUCGGUUUAGGUGGCAGGUAGUUCUGGGUAGUUUAUGUAAGUUGUUGAGGUAAGUUACUGUGGUCUAUGUAAUUCCUUAGUGCUGGUCACAAAGGCUUCAUAUGUCUCUCAGACAGGGAUCCAGCCAGCUGAAAAGCAGAGAGUUUGAAGUUCAGUAACUGACACUGGUAAAAAGAUUUGCAAAGGGCUGUCCUUCUUCUUGAAUGCGAUAUGUUAAUGGUGAUCAGCACUGGUGAUGAGUGAUCAAUUGAGCGUUCGCUGGUGAAUCGCUACCUGUGUUAUAGGAGCUGUGCUGACAGUGUUCGGGUCAUCUUCAGCCUCAUCUGUUCAUUUACCCUCUCCCCUCUUUAAUGCCACGUUUUUGUUGUAUUUUGAGAUUUGGAUACAAACAGUGAGGUGUGCUGGUGUAGACUUACCCAAGUUGUGAAGAAGCAGUGCCACUGAUUUUUUACUUCCUCUGGGUAGCAGUGCAGGGUAGAUGUUUCCUCUAUUAAACCAGGCUGUAAGGCUACAUGUCUUUAGGGACAGAGUAGAAUAGAUAUGACUGAAGUGGAAUGUGAGCCGUGAUCCUUUCCCUGUUUCAGUGGUGUAGUGUCUGUACUCUGGAGAUUCAGAUUGCUUAAAGGCAGUUAACCAAUCCUUCCCAUGUUCAUAGCAAGUUGGCACUUAGGUCUUCCUAGGUGAAUAUAUGAGGUACGAAGGUGUGAGGUGCAAUAAUGUGUACUUGGCAGGUAUAAGAAGUUCUAGCAAACGAUGGCAAAAUUUAGUUUGUUGCAUAAUAAUUCGGCUGCUUUUGAAUUGUCCAGGCCAUGUGCAGAAGUGGGAAUGUCUAAUUAUUGUGCCAUUCACAAAUACCUGCUUGUCUGCAUAAAAACAGUCCAGAAUGUUUGUAAUCUACUAGAGCGUUAGCAGCACUGAGCUUUAGUAACUUGCUAAUAAUAAUAAUAAUAAUAAUACUACACACUGGUUGUGUAACUCCUGAGCUGCUACCAAUGGCUCUACAUGUCAAAGUAAUGGUACAAGAAAAAAAUACUGGGACCAAGCUGCAUUUCAAAAGCUUAUAGCCAUUAGGAUUCCAAUUUAAAUGAUUUUUGGAUGAAUGGCUCCUGAAGACGUCGACAGCUUGACCAGUCAGAGCUGCUGGAAACAAGGCUGCUCUCUAGGCUAUCUCGAUCACAGUGCGACAGGCAACGCGAUCAACAAAGCAAGUGAUGGGCAAGGCCUUGGUUCUGUCUUUGUUUGGGGGUGGCAGAAACUGCAGAAACAAACGAAAUGGUCAAUGG